AGAGAGAGACAUGCGCGCAUAUCAAUAAGCGGAGGAAAAGAAACUAACAAGGAUUCCCCUAGUAACGGCGAGUGAAGCGGGAAGAGCUCAAAUUUGAAAUCUUAAAGGGUUUCCCUUUACGAAUUGUAGUUUAAAGAAGUGUUUUCUGUUGAGGUUUUGGUAAAAGUUCUUUGGAAUAGGACAUCAUAGAGGGUGAGAAUCCCGUAUUUGACCUUUACUUUCAACUUUGUGAUACACUUUCAAAGAGUCGGAUUGUUUGGGAAUGCAGUCCAAAAUGGGUGGUAAAUUUCAUCUAAAGCUAAAUAUUGGCGAGAGACCGAUAGCGAACAAGUACCGUGAGGGAAAGAUGAAAAGAACUUUGAAAAGAGAGUUAAACAGUACGUGAAAUUGUCAAAAGGGAAGCGUUUGACACCAGUGUUGUUUUUCUGAAAAUCAAUUAAAGAACUGUUUAUGCUAAGUUGUUUAGACUUUAUCAGCUAACUGUUUAGUUUUGAGCUUUUCUUUAAUGCACUUUUCAGUUAACAAGUCAACAUCAAUUUCUUUUGCUGUAAAAAAGCUUGAGGAAGGUGGCUUGAGAUUCGUCUUAAGUGUUUAUAGCCUCUUGCCUAUGCAGUCGGAGAGAUUGAGGUCUGCAGGCGUAAAUCCUUCGGGGCUAAAUGCAUUUGUGCUAAGUUAUAGCAUUUUAUAAGACAACUUGUUGACUAUGAUUUGUCUUGUAGCUUACUCGCUUAUGUUAUUUUACCUACGCUUAGGAUGUUGAGCGCAUGUCUCUCUCU
rnacentral:rRNA from 1 species